AAUCAACAAAUAGAGAACUGCUAGAUGAUAGGUGAUA
rnacentral:guide_RNA from 1 species